AUAGUACUCCCUCUGUCCCAAAAUUCUUGUCUUAAAUUUGUUUACAUAUAAAUGUAUCUAGUCAAGUUUUAGUAUUUGGAUACAUCCAUUUCUAAACAAAACUAAGACAAGAAUUUUAGGACGGAGGGAGUAUAUA
rnacentral:pre_miRNA from 1 species